AGCUUCACACAAGCUAUCGCUGACUGCCGGUGCAUGUUGGAAAUGGGCCACAGGGCUGGGCAUGAUAUGAGCUGCCUGGACAUUGGAGGGGGCUUCCCCGGAAUGGAGGGCUCCGGGCCCAAGUUUGAGGAGUUGAGAACAACAAGCAAUAACAACCAUACGAAGAAUCUAGCAAACUCAGACUUUACUUCUCCUUUUCGUGGUCCUGGAAACAGCUCAGAAUAAAGUGGAUCUGGACCUCUACAGAAGAGAGGGAGCUCCAGAUUCCAGAUAGGAUUUCACUGUGUUGUCCAAGCUGGAGUGCAGUGGCUCAAUCACAGGUCAUGGCAGCCUCGACCUCCUGGGGUUCAGGUGAUCCUCCCAUCUCAGCCUCCCGAGUAGCUGGGGCUACAGCACCUGCCAGGAGAACAGGCAGUGGCAGUGUGACCAAGAACCAUGCCUGGUGGAUCCAGACAUGAUCAAAGCCAUCAACCAGGGCAACUAUGGGUGAGAGGCCCUAGAGGCACCCUCAGUGGGCACACAUGCAUACUCAUGCAUGUAUACACGCAUGC
rnacentral:lncRNA from 1 species